UCUGUCCUUGUCUACUACUGAAACUUAUCAAAUCCUACUUUUAGUGUUUCACUGUCCAGGUACUCCGGUUUCAGAGCAACACUAGCUUAAAAUAACAUUUUAUUUCGCGAUGCACGUGAAGAAAGGGUCGUUUGAGCAACCACAGUAGAAAGAGUGCAACCUUCACAAACUGUACGAGGCUGAACAAUGAAUCCACUUGACUGGGAAGAUGCUUUUCGAAGAUUGCAAAGACAUCUGGGUCCAAAUAACAGUGGUGCUAAUAACAGCAUGGAAAAUGCUUUAAGAACUAAUAUUGAUUAUGACACUUACUGCGAAUACUCAAGACACACUGUUGAUGAACCACAAAACAGCAUGGGAGUGAAUUUGGGAUGGGAGGAACUCAGUUCCUCCACCCUUAACUUUUAUAGUAAGGAGCCAGAAGUGGAGGAUCCAGAUGGAGAGCCUCUGGAAAUAGACGAGGAGGAUUCAGAGCUGGCGAGAAAGCGGAAAGAGCUUAGAGAGAUAGAAGAGCGAAUAAUACUUAAGAAAGCUGCCAUCGCUUUGAAAACAGUUGAACCUUUGGUGAAGAAGACAACACCACCAGGCCUUUCCUGUCAUGAACAGUCAGCUAAAUGCAAAGGUGAAACUCUUCGAGACAGAGUGAAUCUAAUUUUGCAGCAACGACAUUCUCUUAACUUUCUCUCAAAGGUCCCGUCACCCAAAAAGAGAAUGAACUCAUCCAGCCUGCUUGAAGAGCAUCCCCUGAAACUGAGAGUGAAGGCACUAAUGAAGCAGAGAUGUUGGGACCUCUGUGUACUACCAACAAACACAGAGGUCCCUGAUGUCACACUGCCUCCUCCCAGCCAAAGCAUUACUUCAGCAGCCAUUCAGGAGAACGAUGACAACAAGGGUUUCCAGCGCUUCCUCAGUGUGCUCAACAAAGGAGUGGAUAUCGACUUGCUCAGCAGGAUUGUCAAUGACGACAGUGAGGAUCUUGCUUUGGGCGAGGAGCUCCUGGACAUUCAGCCCCCUCUUGUGGAGAACAAGUCAGAGCCGGGCGGGAGCCAGCAAUCAAACAGUGAAGCCUCCAUGCCGGGCCACAGUCGGACCGAUGGUGGAGAGAGGAACACUGACCCGCCCAGUCGAGAGAGAUCCCAGAAUGAGAGACUCUCCCUGCCUGGUGGUGAGGACUUGAAUGGCAGAAGAGACAGCUCUUUUGGUUCCAGUAUUCGAUCAAAGUCUCCCCUGGCAGUGAAGAAGAGAGAGGAAGAACAACCAAAGGUGGAUGAGCAGCAUGAACACCUGCAGAACAUUCUUAAAACUCUGGGAUUGAGCCUGGAAGUGGAAGAGAUGAGCAGACUAGCAGACCGGACUCAGGAGAGGCUGUAUGGAAAGAAACAUGAAGGCAGAUGUGGGGCUGACAGCAGAGGGGAGCAGGAGAGUCUGCAAAGAGGCUCCCUCAGACAUCACUUGGACUCGUCCUCCUCAUCCUCCUCUUCCUCCUCCUCAAGGUCGACCUCUAGGAGCUUUAGUCCCAGCCCCUCUCACCAUUGCCACUCUCACAGCAGAGACUCAAAACAAAAGCGAUCGUCUGAAUGCAGAAGCAGAGAUGGACUAACAUGCCAAGAUGGCAACCAGGACAGCAAAGAAGCAAUGGAGCCCAGGGACAUAGACAAAGACAGAAAAGACUCCAAAGAAAUCUCUACUUAUCAUCAUCAUCCAUAUCCACAAGAACAAAGUUAUUCCCAAUCCCAUCCUGCUACUGCAUCUGCAUUUUCAGAUUACAGUAUGCCCCAGUAUUCCCAGUACACUGCCUACGACAGUGGCACUUACAGUGCUGCUCCAAAUUCUUACUCAACAUAUACUCAGGGUGCCAUUCCUCCCUCUCUUGAUUCCAGUGAGUAUCCUUAUCCACAGAACACCGACUUUCAGUUUCCUGGCUCUAUAGUGGCAUCUCACAUGGUUUACCCUCAUCAUGAUUCCUUUGAGGACAUGAACUUACUUGUGAAUCCAGACCUGUCUAAGAGUGAGGGCCAGAUCGGAUCAGCUGGCCAUCGCUGCCUGCGGGUCAUCAGCACAAAGCCGUCAACCAAUAAGCGCUGUCUAAAGCAAGUCUCAGAAGGUCGCAAACAGAAGGCGGCAUACAUAAGGAAAUGUCGUGCAUGGUUUUGUAAGUUAAGAGAGAGAAAGACUCAACUAAGAAAGCAAACAAGACAAGCAAAACAGAAUAAAGACUCUGUGGGGGAAGUAAAGGCUUCACAGGGUGAUGAGCAUCACUCAGAGGCCAGGCAGUCAGAAGAUGAAGAAAGACAGCCAACAGAGGAGGAAAUAAAGGUGAACCUGAGGAAAAAGAUUUUCUUUUUCUUUUCUAGCUUGAAGCAUUUAACCAGAAGGUGAAGCAACAAGUGACACAGCCAGUCACCUCCCUAACCUCUCAGACUGGUUAGAAUCUGUGGAGCGUCAUGAAUGUCGUAAAUCUGAAUCUGCUGUGAGCCCCGACAGACCAUGUGGACCUCAUGUUUAACACUCAUUAUUUACACAUGCAGCUCAUAGUGUGUAACAGGAACAUUUUUAGUUAAGUCACAUUUCCAGAUCUGUGCUGAAUCCUUUUUGAACAAGUAAAUGUUAUCUUCUUCAAGAAAAUAUUUUUGUGCAAUUAAUUACCGGUUGGUGAGAAAUGUUUUACUCAUUUCAGCUCUGUGAAAAUUACUACUUUGUAAGUAUGUUUCUAUUCAGCCUUAAAUUUGAUUAAGCAUAUUCUAUUUUGUAGGGUCUGUUGUAAUUCGUUGAUGAUAUAACAGUAUGUAUAUAUUUUUUUUUGUCAUAAAACAUUGAGCCUGUAAAAUGUAUUCAGCCUCUAAAUGCCUGUUCCCACACGUGUAUGCUGCUGACACAACACUGUUUUUAACUUAAUCUUUUUUUUUUGUUGAUAAUUUGAAUUUAAUUUUUGUCAUUUAUCAGUGUUGAUUUUGAAUAAUCCCAAUGACUUUUGUUGAUCCCUUUACACCAGCAAGUCUGA